GUGCUGCUUUGACAGCACAUACACUAAAAUUGGAAUGAUAUGGAGAUUAGCAUGGCCCCCACACAGGGACGACACACAUCUGUGAAGCAGUCUAUAUUUUU
rnacentral:snRNA from 1 species